GGUUUAAUUCGAAGCAACGCGAAGAACCUUACCAGGUCUUGACAUCGAUCUAAAAGGGAUGGAGACAUCCUCAUAGCUAUAGAGAAGACAGGUGGUGCAUGGUUGUCGUCAGCUCGUGUCGUGAGAUGUUGGGUUAAGUCCCGCAACGAGCGCAACCCCUGUCGCCAGUUACCAUCAUUAAGUUGGGGACUCUGGAGAGACUGCCUCUGCAAGGAGGA
rnacentral:rRNA from 1 species